ensembl:snRNA U6 U6 spliceosomal RNA
GUGCUUGCUUCGGCAGCACAUAUACUAAAAUCAGAACAAUACAGAGAAGAUUAGCAAGGCCCCUGUGCAAGGAGGACACACAAAUUUGUAAAACACUCCAUAUUUUU